rnacentral:ncRNA from 1 species
AAAUAUCAACAGAAUAUAACUCGUAUAAUAUCAGGAAUAUGGCCUGAAAGUUUCUACCCAGUAACCGUAAAUUACUGGACUACGAGUAAAAUAUACCGAAGG